rnacentral:rRNA from 1 species
AUCCUGGCUUAGGAUGAACGCUGGCGGCGUGCUUAACACAUGCAAGUCGAACGAAGCUAAGGGAGCUUGCUCCCAAAGCUUAGUGGCGGACGGGUGAGUAACGCGUGGGUAACCUGCCCUAUAGAGGGAGAUAACGUUCGGAAACGAACGCUAAUACCGCAUAAACCAUAAGGAGCUGCAUGGCUCUGAUGGCAAAGAUUUAUCGCUAUAGGAUGGACCUGCGUUGGAUUAGCUAGUUGGUGAGAUAACAGCUCACCAAGGCGACGAUCCAUAGCCGGCCUGAGAGGGUGAACGGCCACAUUGGGACUGAGACACGGCCCAAACUCCUACGGGAGGCAGCAGUGGGGAAUAUUGCACAAUGGGCGCAAGCCUGAUGCAAGCGACGCCGCGUGAAGGAAGAAGGUCUUCGGAUUGUAAACUUCUAUCAGCAGGGAAGAAUAAAUGACGGUACCUGACUAAGAAGCUCCGGCUAACUACGUGCCAGCAGCCGC